rnacentral:lncRNA from 1 species
GGACCGGUUUGCUCUCCAGCUCAAUUUUCUCUUGAGCUAAGAGGUGCACCCUAUGGCGUAGAUCGGUGGCCUCCUUGCGCGCCACCCGCAGCUCGGUGCUCAUAGCAUCCUCCACUCGCGAAUGGUCGAUCUCCGCCAGCAUAAGGUUGCAGGACAACUUCUCCGCCUCGAUCCUUAUUAGGCGAUUCUCCUCUUGGAGCACGG